rnacentral:lncRNA from 1 species
AGCGGAUUAAGGGUCCCUCAGCCGAUCACAUUUAUUUCAUUAUUUGAGUGAAAUCCCUUGUAAAUACCACCUGCCCCCCUCCCCUUCCCUUUGUAAAAAUAGAAGGCAGGGAAGAAUUGCAGAUUUGGGAAAAGUUAAUCGCCGGAGUCGCAUGAACACCGUUAACCUCUGGCAGCCCAAGCCAGGGCAAGCGGGGGAGAUGCUGCAGGGCCGGGGAGAUGCUGCGGGGUCCCAGCCUGGCGGGGUGUCCCCUGGGGAAGCCCUGGUCCCUGGGCAGAGGUGGCCUCUCCCUCUUUAGUGGUAGUAGAGUUGCCUCCAUCAUGGGCAUGGUCACAGCUGACCUGUGAUGAGCUGCUAAUUGCAAUGCUGGAACAAAUUGGCUCCAGCAGCUGGUGAUUCCUGCUACUGCAGUGGAUUCGCUGUUGCACCUUGGUUCCUGGGGAGCCUCUGCAGGACGCAUCUGCGGCCUAAGGCCCAGCGAGCUUGAGGCUAUUAGAAAUGCCGAUGCUCUUCCCUUUGCAGUGCUCUCUUUGCUCAGAGCCUCCCCAGACGACAGGGAUGGACCUGGGGACUCGAUUGCAGGCAUUACAUUGGACCUUUCCCAAGUUAAGUAUUUUCAACAAAUUUCAAACAGCAGUAGCUGGCUUCCUGUCCCCGGCAGCUCCCCUGUCCCUGCAGCGACCCCUUCCCUCCGAUUCACCCUCCGGACCUGCGCAUGGGUAGAGGUGGAUACUGGCAACAAGGACUCCUGUUCUUUGCUUCUUGCAGCUUGGCCUCGCUCACGGGACCCCGUCUGCCUUCCUCGCUCAUCCAGCGCCCCCCGGACCAGCAGGCUUGCCCGAGACCAGCAGAGCUGGAAAGUCAGACCUGCAGAGAUUAAUUAAAAUAGGAGAAGGUGGGUGCUAAAGUGAUGGAUGUUAGCAAAACACCCAGAGAUGAAGGUGCUCAGGGUGUUCGGUGACAUUUGCCUCCGGCCGAGCGGCUUUGCAAUAGUUAAAACACACUCGAUGCGGCAGUUGUUAAGGAAUCAGCCCCGACAUCUGGCCGCAGAGGUCAGCUGCGGGCAGCCGGGAUGCGCACGUGCCUGGUGCCCGCUCCCAUUGGGAUUUGCACCUUGGAGCUGCCUGUGGUGCUCCUCCAAGCAGGUGCCGGACGGGAGAGACAAGGCCAGAGAGGGAAAGCAGCGGGUCUGGGGGCACCUCGGCGCGGGAGAGCACGGCCGCCGCGGGAAGAUGCCGCCCGCCCCAGCAGGAAGGCUCAGCUGGGCUCCGACCGUCCGUGGCGUCCAGCCGGGAAGGGCUUGUACGGCUUGCGAGGUUCCUGGUGGGGUUCCUUUUUUCAAAGCCUCCUGCAAUAACAGCGGCUGUUGCUCAGCUUCCUUUCCCGAUAACCUUCUUCCUGCUGCCCAACACCCUUAUCUGCUGCAGACAGACUGGCAAGAUGAACCGGAAAACUGA